UACGGAGGGGGCAAGCGUUGUUCGGAAUUACUGGGCGUAAAGGGCGCGCAGGCGGCUGCUCAAGUCAGGCGUGAAAGGCCUGGGCUCAACCCGGGAAUUGCGCUUGAGACUGGGCUGGCUUGAGUGCGGGAGAGGAUGGUGGAAUUCCCAGUGUAGAGGUGAAAUUCGUAGAUAUCGGGAGGAACACCGGUGGCGAAGGCGGCGAUCUGGGUAGAUACUGACGCUGAGGUGCGAAAGCGUGGGGAGCAAACAGG
rnacentral:rRNA from 1 species